rnacentral:rRNA from 2 species
GACGAAGGAUGCAAGCGUUAUCCGGAUUCAUUGGGUUUAAAGGGUGCGUAGGCGGCCCGGUAAGUCAGUGGUGAAAGCCUGUUGCUUAACAACAGAACUGCCAUUGAUACUGCUGGGCUUGAGUACAGAUGCUGUGGGCGGAAUAUGACAUGUAGUGGUGAAAUACAUAGAGAUGUCAUAGAACACCGAUUGCGAAGGCAGCUCACAAAACUGUAACUGACGCUGAGGCACGAAAGUGCGGGGAUCAAACAGG